ensembl:snoRNA SNORA70 Small nucleolar RNA SNORA70
CUGCUCAUCAAAAACCUCAUUAAGAAAAUGAUGGUGUGCAGUGGCUGCACACAGUGGCCUCCUCAGUAGUGUGUGCAGCCUGUUGCUGCAUAGGGGUUGUCCUAAGGGACCUUGGAGACCACA